UACAGAGGGGGCAAGCGUUAUUCGGAAUUAUUGGGCGUAAAGGGCGCGUAGGCGGCCUUGCAAGUGGCGGGUGAAAUCCCUCGGCUUAACCGAGGAACUGCCUGCCAGACUGCAAGGCUCGAGACCGGGAGAGGUGAGUGGAAUUCCCAGUGUAGCGGUGAAAUGCGUAGAUAUUGGGAGGAACACCGGUGGCGAAGGCGGCGACCUGGGUCGAUACUGACGCUGAUGCGCGAAAGCGUGGGGAGCAAACAGG
rnacentral:rRNA from 1 species